ensembl:lncRNA
AUCAGGCUCAGCAUAGCUUUUCACUGGCAUCAGCAAUCAUGAGAUUUGCCCCAGGAAUGUCCAGGAACCAGCUGCACACCCAAGUCAACAAAGCCACUGCUUCUGCCAGCGCUAAACAGAGGUACAGGAAGGUGUAAAUCCUGAGCCUAAGUGUUCAAAGGGGUUGCCUCAACUACUCCACAAACCUAUAGGCAUCCACAGAAAAAUCACCUUUGUGUGCCUGAGCAACUUGUCUACACCAUCUCUGUAUGUUGCUUUCCUCUCCUGUCAGUUCUGCCAGUUAUAUUGAGUGUAAAAGCCUGGUUCCAGUUAUCUGUCCCACAUUUAGCAACCAUGCUCUCAUUGCUCUUGAGCUGCAGCAGAGAGGACGGGACCAAGUUGGUCGAAGAAUCUCUAGCUCCUCUGUAGCUCAGCACUCUCUAGGUAAAAUACUGAACAAAAAAAGAAGGGGAGCCUGCCAGUGAAGAAGUCCAAACAGAGAAGGCAGUGGAUAUUCUACUCUUUCCAAGUCAUUACUUCACUCAGCACAGCCUGUUAUUUGGAGAGCCCAUGGAAAGCUGUCCAGGCAGGGAAGCAUGCUGUUGCUGAGAGGUCUGCCUCUAUCCGUCAGUAAUGGGUGCUUGUGUGAGCAGAGCAUUUGCAAGGAAUUUUACAAGGCUGCAAAGUCCUGCCUGCUCUAAAAUUAAAGAUCUGAAUUCAGCAGAGCAAAUGGAUAUUACCUUGACUUGAAAGUGUUGAAAUUUCUGGAACUUGAGGUCUUGCUUGUAGUAUCUACUGAUGGAUGACAUCUAUUUCAAAGCAAAAAUUCACUCAUCCCUACCUGAAUGGGCUCCUCGGUCACGGGGAUCAUGACCUCUUAGGAGCUCUUAUGAUGUUGUGCAAAUACGUUGUCCCUUUCUUGUUGACUGCAACCUUAUUAAAGUAAAUGCAAUAGGUGAUGUGGCAAGGAUGAGCCAUAAAAACGUGCCAGAGAGGAUGAAAUCUGCAUGCCUGAAGCCAGGAUAAAAUGCACAUAGAGCGAUAGAAAGAAAC